rnacentral:rRNA from 1 species
UACGGGGGGAGCAAGCGUUGUUCGGAUUUACUGGGCGUAAAGGGCGCGUAGGCGGCCACUGCAAGUCGGUUGUGAAAUCCCAGGGCUCAACCCUGGAAUUGCAGCCGAAACUGCAAAUCUUGAAUACCAGAUAGGGUGGGAGAAUUCCUGGUGGAGCAGUGAAAUUCGUAGAUAUCGGGAGGAACACCAGUGGCGAAGGCGCUGACCUGGACGAUGAUUGACGCUGAGGCGCGAAAGCGUGGGGAGCAAACAGG